GACGAACGCUGGCGGCGUGCCUAAUACAUGCAAGUUGAGCGCUGAAGGUUGGUACUUGUACCGACUGGAUGAGCAGCGAACGGGUGAGUAACGCGUGGGGAAUCUGCCUUUGAGCGGGGGACAACAUUUGGAAACGAAUGCUAAUACCGCAUAAAAACUUUAAACACAAGUUUUAAGUUUGAAAGAUGCAAUUGCAUCACUCAAAGAUGAUCCCGCGUUGUAUUAGCUAGUUGGUGAGGUAAAGGCUCACCAAGGCGAUGAUACAUAGCCGACCUGAGAGGGUGGCCGCCCACUUGGGACCUAGACACCGCCCCAACCCCUACGGGAGGCAGCCGGAGGGGAUCUUCGGGAAUAGCAGAAAGUCUGACCGAGCAACGCCGCGUGAGUGAAGAAGGUUUUCGGAUCGUAAAACUCUGUUGGUAGAGAAGAACGUUGGUGAGAGUGGAAAGCUCAUCAAGUGACGGUAACUACCCAGAAAGGGACGGCUAACUACGUG
rnacentral:rRNA from 1 species